AUUGAACGCUGGCGGCGUGCCUAACACAUGCAAGUCGAGCGGUAACAGGUGCAGCAAUACAUGCUGACGAGCGGCGAACGGGUGAGUAAUGCUUCGGAAUCUGCCCAUGUAGUGGGGAAUAACCAGCCGAAAGGUUGGCUAAUACCGCAUACGACCCUUGCCCACAAGGCAAAGGUGAAAGCAGGGGAUCGCAAGACCUUGCGCUAUUGGANGAGCCGAAGUCGGAUUAGCUAGUUGGUAGGGUAACGGCCUACCAAGGCGACGAUCCGUAGCUGGUCUGAGAGGACGACCAGCCACACUGGGACUGAGACACGGCCCAGACUCCUACGGGAGGCAGCAGUGGGGAAUAUUGGACAAUGGGGCAACCCUGAUCCAGCGACGCCGCGUGUGUGAAGAAGGCCUGCGGGUUGUAAAG
rnacentral:rRNA from 1 species